CAGGCAUAAGGAUUGUUGGUGAAUAGGGUGUUGGACGUUUUCUUGACUCUAAAAGAACCAGUAAAAUCUUAUCCAGGAUCUUUCUGAAGUAUGAUUACUUUAGAUUAAUCGAGUUUUGAUAUUUAAAAGGACGUUUGAUUGCUUUGGUCUAGCUGUGACAAAGUAACUGUAGUGUAAACUAGCUACAAAUUAACUGUCACUUUUUUUAUUUGAAGAAAGAAUAGCUUCCACGAUGAAUCGGGACAGAGCUAGCCCACAUACCUCCACCCUGCCAGAGUCCCCGGGUUGCAACUCUCCCGGUAGCGCCUUACUGCAGGGGGUCUGAAGAGGGUGUCUUCAUUGCUGAUCGACUGCAGGAAAACACCAGGGCAGAGUGGAUCUUCGAGAGGUGACACAAGGAGGGAGAUGGAGAUUUGAUUUCAUCAAGGGACACACCUAAACGUGGUUAUCUCGGUGGGAGGGGCUUAUCUGCUCACCUUCAACCACAUGUUGCUGACGAGGCAGAGAAGUGUCUCUCCAGAUCAGAACACUUCAAGAAACACCAGCAGAGAUGUAUAGGGAAGAAACCUCAACACUGCUGCUCUGACUGUGGGAAGAAUUUCACUAGCCGGAGUUGCUUCAUUAUUCACCAGCGGAUUCACACCGGCGAGAGACCGUACUUCUGCUCUCAGUGUGGGAAGAGGCACAUCUCUGCAGGGCGUCUUAAAGAACACCAAAGAAUCCAUACAG